UACGUAGGGUGCAAGCGUUGUCCGGAAUCAUUGGGCGUAAAGAGCGUGUAGGCGGCUCGAUCAGUCCGCUGUGAAAGUCCAGGGCUCAACCCUGGAAAGCCGGUGGAUACUGUCGGGCUAGAGUACGGAAGAGGCGACUGGAAUUCCUGGUGUAGCGGUGAAAUGCGCAGAUAUCAGGAGGAACACCGGUGGCGUAGACGGCUAUCUGGACCGUAACUGACGCUGAGGCACGAAAGCGUGGGUAGCAAACAGG
rnacentral:rRNA from 1 species